GACGAACGCUGGCGGCGUGCCUAAUACAUGCAAGUAGAACGCAGUUGCGAACGGGUGAGUAACGCGUAGGUAACUGCCUCAUAGCGGGGGAUAACUAUUGGAAACGAUAGCUAAUACCGCAUACUGUGAGAUGGACCUGCGUUGUAUCAGCCUGUUGGUGAGGUAAAGGCUCACCAAGGCGACGAUACAUAGCCGACCUGGGAGGCGGAACCGCCAAACUGGGACUGAGACACGGCCCAGACUCCUACGGGAGGGAGCAGGAGGGAAGCUUCGGAAAUGGGCGGAAGUCUUAACGAGCAACGGCGCGGGAGUGAAAAAGGUUUUUGGAUCGGAAAGCUCUGUUGUUAGAGAAGCGUUAACUAACCAGAAAGGGACGGCUAACUACGUGCCAGCAGCCGCGGUAAUAC
rnacentral:rRNA from 1 species